GAUGAACGCUGGCGGUGUGCCUAACACAUGCAAGUCGAACGAAGCAGCAAUGCUUAGUGGCGAACGGGUGAGUAACGCGUAGGAAUUUGCCUCGAACCGGGAAAUACCCAGCCGAAAGGUUGGCUAAUGUCCCAUAGUCCCGCAAGGGUAAAGAUUUAUCGGUUUGAGAGAAGCCUGCGUCCUAUCAGCUAGUUGGUGAGGUAAAAGCUUACCAAGGCAAUGACGGGUAGCUGGUCUAAGAGGAUGGUCAGCCACAAUGGGACUGAGACACGGCCCAUACUCCUACGGGAGGCAGCAGUUGGGAAUCGUACACAAUGGACGCAAGUCUGAUGUCGCGACACCGCGUGAAGGAUGAAGGCUUCGGUGUAACUUCUUUAUAGGGACGAUGAUGACGGUACCCUACUGAAUAAGCGACGGCUAACUACGUG
rnacentral:rRNA from 1 species